GCAAGACGGAGGUAACAGAUUGCACAAACACAUUGAAACAUUUUCAGCUGUUCACUAACACUGUUACAUUUUCUGGAAUUUUCAAUUGAAUGGGAGAUUACAAAAGGAAAGACGAAUACCCAAUUUUUCAAGAAGAAGAAAAAGAAAAGCGCAGUUUAUUUUGGAUUUUAAAGAGAGAAAUCGAAAAAGCUUCACAAGGAGAAAAAGGAAUCAUUUGGAGAAUUCAAAUAUAUUGCGUACAACAGACAAAUAAGGGAAUAUAAUCCAGAAGCUGGAUGCCAUUGAGACCCGUCUCACUGCAAUUGAAAAGUCCCUAACAGACAAAAUGCCAGAGAAGGCCGAGGUGCAGGCGCAAAGUAAAUUAUUGCGCGAAUGCCGCGUCAUAGCGGCAAAGACGCACCAUUCAAUUAGCCGCAUCACCGGUGAUUUGGAGGACGAGCAUUACGUGGAGCUCGCUUCGAAACUGCCCAUAUCAUCGGAAGAGCACAGGGCGCAAAAGGCAGUGUGGACGGCGUACUGCGCCGUAGUUGUAAAUACAUAUUAGUUCUAAGUUGUACUAUACCUAUUAGUUUUACGUUGUAAAUAUUAGUUUUAAGUUGUAUAAAUUAGUUU